GUUCACCUACGGGACGCAGCAGUGAGGAAUAUUGGUCAAUGGUCGGGAGACUGAACCAGCCAAGCCGCGUGAGGGAUGAAGGUACAGAGUAUCGUAAACCUCUUUUGUCAGGGAACAAAGGCGGGGACGCGUCCCCGGAUGAGUGUACCUGAAGAAAAAGCAUCGGCUAACUCCGUGCCAGCAGCCGCGGGAAUACGGAGGAUGCGAGCGUUAUCCGGAGUUAUUGGGUUUAAAGGGUGCGCAGGCGGGCUGUUAAGCCGGCGGUAAAA
rnacentral:rRNA from 1 species